GACGAACGCUGGCGGCGUGCUUAACACAUGCAAGUCGAACGGAAAGGCCCUGCUUUUGUGGGGUGCUCGAGUGGCGAACGGGUGAGUAACACGUGAGGAACCUGCCCUUGACUUUGGGAUAACUUCAGGAAACUGGGGCUAAUACCGGAUAGGAGCUCCUGCUGCAUGGUGGGGGUUGGAAAGUUUCGGCGGUUGGGGAUGGACUCGCGGCUUAUCAGCUUGUUGGUGGGGUAGUGGCUUACCAAGGCUUUGACGGGUAGCCGGCCUGAGAGGGUGACCGGCCACAUUGGGACUGAGAUACGGCCCAGACUCCUACGGGAGGCAGCAGUGGGGAAUAUUGCACAAUGGGCGGAAGCCUGAUGCAGCAACGCCGCGUGCGGGAUGACGGCCUUCGGGUUGUAAACCGCUUUCGCCUGUGACGAAGCGUGAGUGACGGGAAUGGGUAAAGAAGCACCGGCGAACUACGG
rnacentral:rRNA from 1 species